GGCGGAACCCUAGCCUCCGCCGCCGCCCCUCCUCCUCCCUCCUCCGUGCUUCGCCGCCGCCGGAGCUCGUCGCCGGCAAAGCCGGGCGACGUGCUGGGAUGGCGGCGGCGGGGCCAUCCUCCUCGGCUCCACCUCGCCCCCGCGCGGGCGUGGCGACGAUGGCGGCGGGACGGCGAGGUCGUGGCGACGGGGACGGCGCGGCGACGGCGCGGCGUUGGGCGCGGCGGUGGGGCGCUCGGUGUCGGCUCUCCACGGCUCCAGCGACGGGCGACGGCGUCGCCAGAUCUGGUCUCCCCGCUUGGCCGGGGUGACCGGCGAUGGGCUCGGUCGACACUGCCGCCGCUCCGCGGACCUGGCAGGGGGGUGGCUAGCGGCGGCGAUGGUGGCGGAUGUAGCGGCGACGAAGUUGGCGACGACGGCGGCGGACUGCGGCGCGUGCCGCGACGCCGGCCCUCGUCAAGAACCUCGCCGCCACGAGGGAGGCGCGGCGCCCUCGUCAAUGCUCCGGCUGUGAACGCCGUGCCCGUGACGCCUUCCUCCAUGAUGCCGGCGACCUGCGCUUCGCGCUGCACCUCCGAUCCGCGCCACCCCGGUUGGAUCUGGACGGCUGGCGUCUGCCGGCGCUGGCUAGCGAUAGUGGCGGCUGACGGUGGCGGCUGGACGAUGGUGGCUGGACGGGGGUGUCCGUGGCGGUGGGGGUGGUGGUGGCGAUGGUGGCUGACGGUGGCGGCUGGCGACGGUGGUGGCUGUGGUAGUGGCGGUGGCGGCUGUCGACGAUGGUACCUAGGGCGGCGAUGGUUGAAGGCCAUCAUCCGGCUGACGGUGCGUCAUCGUCGGCGGCGGUAUGUGGAGGCGGGGAAGGGGUCUAGAGGCGGGGAAGGAGGAGUCCGGGUGCGGGCGCGCCGUCGACGGCGGGAACAAUUGUGGGCGGGAAUCGCGGGCGAAAGCCUUGCUGAGCCAUUUGGCCGGCUGAUGGCGUCAUUCCCCUCCUUGGAGCAUACCCCUUUCCUUUCCCUACCAUAUUCUCCGGGUGAAAACCUUGCUUCGGUUCCGAACGAGCGGUGGCGGCGAUCCACGUCGCAUCCUCCUUGGGGGCACCGCUUUGAAGAAAUCUCUUCAUGCAAGGAUAUUGUCAUUGGUCUAUGCAUUGGCUUCGAACUUCAGUCCUAG
rnacentral:lncRNA from 1 species